GGACUACUGGGGUUUCUAAUCCUGUUUGCUCCCCUAGCUUUCGCGCUUCAGCGUCAGUACCUGUCCAGGUAGCCGCCUUCGCCACUGGUGUUCUUCCCGGUCUCUACGCAUUUCACCGCUACACCGGGAAUUCCGCUACCCUCUCCAGGACUCAAGCCGAACAGUAUCGAAGGCAAUUCCUCAGUUGAGCCGAGGGAUUUCACCUCCGACUUGAUCGGCCGCCUACGCGCCCUUUACGCCCAAUGAUUCCGAACAACGCUAGCCCCCUCCGUAUUACCGCGGCUGCUGGCAC
rnacentral:rRNA from 1 species